GUUCUGCUAAUGAUGCCCUCUUCUGAAAAACAAUAAUCAUAUGUCAUGGUUUGUAUCCCAAGAAAUGCUCGGAUGGAAAUGAUAAUUUGAUGUAAGGGGAAAAAAUGUGAAUGUGUGAUUUAAAACUGAAUGUACUAACGGAAGUUCAGCACAAUCCCAAGUUACAGUGAGCUUAAUAACCUUUCCACAGGAUUAAAUUUUUGAACUAUACGAGAACGGAUGAGAAAACAAAUCUCAAAUUUUCUAUUAAUUCUCAAUAUCAAU
rnacentral:misc_RNA from 1 species